UAAAAUUUAAAAUUAUAAUACUUAAAUAGUAGAUAAUUAUUUAUUGAAACUUAAAUAAUUUGGCGGUAUUUUAGUUCAUUUAGAGGAAUCUGUUUAAUAAUUGAUAUUCCACGAAUAAAUUUACUUAAUUUAUAAUUUUGUAUAUCGUUGUUAUAAAAAUAUUUUUUAAUAAUAUUAAUAUUUAAGAAUUAUUAUUUAAAUUCAAAUCAGAUCAAGAUGCAGAUUAUAAUUAAGAAUAUAAUGGAUUACAAUAAAUUUAUUUAAAUGAAUAUUUUUUUUGUAAAGUUAAUUGAAAGUGGAUUUAAAUGUAAUUUUAUUUAUUUUAUUAAAAUGAUUAAAAAUUAAAAUAUGU
rnacentral:rRNA from 1 species